AGCGAACGCUGGCGGCAUGCUUAACACAUGCAAGUCGCACGAAGGUUUCGGCCUUAGUGGCGGACGGGUGAGUAACGCGUAGGAAUCUAUCCAUGGGUGGGGGAUAACACUGGGAAACUGGUGCUAAUACCGCAUGGUACCUGAGGGUCAAAGGCGCAAGUCGGCUGUGGAGGAGCCUGCGUUCGAUUAGCCAGUUGGUGGGGUAAAGGCCUACCAAGGCGAUGAUCGAUUGCUGGUUUGAGAGGAUGAUCAGCCACAAUUGGACUUAGACCCGGCCCAGACUCCUACGGGAGGCAGCAGUGGGGAAUAUUGGACAAUGGGGGCAACCCUGAUCCAGCAAUGCCGCGUGUGGGAAGAAGGUCUUCGGAUUGUAAAGCACUUUCGACGGGGACGAUGAUGACGGUACCCGUAGAAGAAGCCCCGGCUAACUUCGUGCCAGCCGCCGCGGUAA
rnacentral:rRNA from 1 species